AGCCGGGGCGCGGUACCGCGCGGGUCGGGCUGGGCUGGGCUGGGCUGGGCUGGGGCCUCCCCGCCUCGCUAGGCCCGGCCCGGCCCGGCCCGGCCAUGGGGAGCCGGGCUUCGGGCCUCGGCCCCGCUGUUCGGCCGGGAGCGCGCAGGCCGCCGAGAGAAGGCGUCGCCCGGUGCGUGGUGCCAGGAGGGGCGCCGGGGGGUGAAGCCUCAGAGCCCGUACGGCGGUUUGGUCCAGGACUACACGCACUGUGUGAAAGAAAAACAAAGUGCUGCACCAGCUUUCAGGAAGCAGGUCUCUCAAUAGCGGUGCUUCUAAAAUAGUGUGUCACGAUCUCUGGGAGCUUUCUGCAGCUGAAAUGGUCCCCAUCUUAUGGACUCGAGAAAUCACUGUUUACCGGAUGAAUAAUGAAAAGCAGUAUGAGCACAUGCAAAUGGAGAUAACUUUUGGAUGAAACCACAGUGAAAGAUGUGUUGCAGGAACACACGUCGUUGACAUCUGGCUUGGGGGAAUAAAGUAGUCUGAAGUAAAGCCUCCCAAGUUGCUGUCAUGGGUCAUGGAAGUGAUCACAGGAUACACAGUAAAGGCUGGAAGCUUUAUCAGUACGAAAGCUGAGAAGCUGAGACUCUAACAUUAUCUUCCAAGAGAGCUGAGAUUUGGAGAGCAUUAAAGAUGAAGCAGGAAAAGCACAAUCUGGUGAUUUCUAAGGAAGAAGUGAUGCUUUUGAUCAACUGCUAUAUGUCGAACGAUCGAUGACAGUAAGUACUAUAGAAAUGUGGGAAACGUGGUGCCCUGUGUACUUUGCAACUGCAAUAAUAAAUUCUGCUCAUUGGUCGUGUUUUGUGAAAAAUUCUGUAAAACAUUGCAUCAGAUCUUUUCCUCAUAAUAUUUCCCAGUUAAGGAUUUGUUUUCAAGCAACGUUAGCUAAAAACAAGUCUCGUUCAAAACAGUCAUUGUACUUCAGUUUGUUGGAGUGUCAGCCUGUAUCUCUGACACAGAGUGAGCUCUGCAGGAAGUCAGGGAAACAAUUAAACCCCAAAGCCACAUGUAAUUUUGCUCAUUUUAUUUUCAUAAAAGUAUCUAUUACUAGCACCAGACUAGUUUUUACUGACUUGAGACCAAAUAAUUAUCCUCUAAAGAAUUUCUAAACCAUGCAUUGUAGAUUUAGGUGGAUGAAGUGUUCACCUGCUCUCCAGGGGCACUUUGCGGUUGCUGUUAACUUCAGCAAGAGUGAAGUCAGACCUAAAGAUGCUUAUAAUUGUACUGCGGAGAGGAGGAUACUGCACCAAGCUACAGGGCCAUGGAAGUUUCCCAUUUUCCUUUCUGUAAAAAGAGCCCAUAUCAGAAGAGGACGUGAUGGUGUAAAGGAGCAUUGUAGUUUCUAGAACCCUAUGACAAAACUGCAAAAAUCGUGUAAUGUGAGUUAAUCAAAACAAAACGCGAUUGAAGACCAUGUCCAAUCUGAGUUUAUGUAACCGAGAAAUUGUUUCACAGAAUGUAAGAUGGUAGCAAAGAGUACACAGUGCUCUUUUUUUGUAGUAUCAAGAGAGCUGACUCAGCUUUUAGUUUCUUUUCAAGGGAUUAAAAAUAACUCUUACAAUACACAAGUGUUGAUCUAUUAUUCAUAGCUGAAUUUUUUGUUGCAUUACUAGACAAAAUCUCUAGGGGUGAUACUUUUUUUGUUAUACAUUCCUGAUUGCUGCAUUACAUUUCAGAAAAGCACUAAUGCUGUUUUCGUUGGGCUUUUGUUUCUGACUGUGUGAUCACUGACAGUCAUAAUAUGAAACAAAAUGUUAAUCAAAGUAGCCUGGAUGGAUAACUGAUCAGUGACACUGUGAGUUUGACGCAGAUGAAUGUGCACUUUUAAGUUGACUGAAUGGGGGCUUGUGAGAAGAAAGAUUGUUGAAACCUAAUACAUACCUCAGCACAAAGCUGAAGGUAGGCUCUGUGUUUGCUUGUGUGCCUCUGAAGUAUCUUCCUUAAGCUGCAUUUACAUAUGCUUUACAAACAACAAGUAUGUGAUAUACUUCAUUAUUUCAGUCCCCCAGCAAAUAAUUCCUGGCAUGUAUAUUCAACAAAGAACAUCUUAUUUUUCUGUGCUGGCAUUUAUACGUAUUUUUGCACGUGAAAACGAAGCCUUUUAAUAGAAGGUCCUUUGACGCCUAACUAAUGUCUAUUGCAAAUGUGAGUUGGUACAAACAGUUAAGG